rnacentral:rRNA from 1 species
CCAAGGAGUCUAAUUAGGCAUCAAGUCGAUCGGUCUUGAUAGGCCAGACGGGUGGAUUCGUCCACCGAUUGAAGGCGUAAGAAAUCAAAUCAUGUGAUCAUGGGGGCAAUAUCAGCCCUUAUGCGCAACAUGUGCCUGUUCGUAUAGUAAUGUUAGCAAUAACUUACUGGGCGGAGCAAAGAGAUGCCUGAUUGGUACCCGAAAGAUGGUGAACUAUGCUUGGGCAAAUUGAAGCCAGAGGAAACUCUGGUGGAGGAUUGUAGCGAUUCUGACGUGCAAAUCGAUCGUCAGACCUGAGUAUAGGGGCGAAAGACUAAUCGAACCAUC